AAUAUGUUAAAAUAAAAAUACCAAUAUGUAAAUAAGCACGAAAAGUAUAAAGCGGUAGCGGGAGAAACCAACUGCUCUGUUCCUAGUUUCCCCUUGGUUUUCCCUCACCGCGAUCUCACAAUCCGAAGAUUACUACGGCUCUUGGCGUUUGAUCCACAUCGAUCAUCAUGAGCGUGCCCUGAAUCGAGAUGGUGGAGGCGGCGCGUCGUCGGUGGCGGUCUUCGUAGAUCGAGAAACUUCUCGGCAAAAGAUUUUGAGUGAAGUUCCCUGGACGCGGCCGCUGGACUCGCACUUUUGUUCCCGAGGAGGAGAGGAUCAGAUCGUGGCUAGGAGAUCCAUGGACGGUGCCUGGAAGUGUCUUGGCCAUUGCGAGAUGAGCCGAUAAAGCCUAUUCCCACUGAUCGAGGGUUUUCUGAUGAUUAUCUAACUUCAAAGGAUCAUUACGCUGGUUAAUUUUAUGAGAGCUUGGAGGAAUUCAGCACAAGGGUCAUCUUCUCCCCAUCUGCUCUACGGCACCAAAAGGAUAAACCAGUUCAAUCAUUGUCCUUGCAGUGCGCCAACCUUACCACAGUAUUCUAGGCGAUGUCCUUUUCCCUUCCAUUGAUUGAUGCAAGCAUCUGUCACAGGUUUGCCCAUGUACCAGGUCUUGUCUUGCUUCGUGGAGAUUGGGAAGAAAGAUGACUCGUGAAGUAGCAGUAAGAUGGUAAACCCAUUACAACGACACUAUGAGCAACAGUAUGUCACAAGUACAUAAAUGCACAACAGUGGAACCAAAGAGCAGAGAAAGAGGUCUCGUGAAGCAGCAGUAAGAUGGUAAACCCAUUACACCGCUACUUAAUUUACACGCUUGAUUAGCAACAGUAGGUCACAAGUUUAUAAAUGCACAACAGUGGAAUCAAAGAGUAGAGGAAAAGAACAUGAAAGGAAGGCCACAACAAGAUCAUCAGCAAACAGAAGG